rnacentral:rRNA from 1 species
AGGUAGCGAAAUUCCUUGUCGGGUAAGUUCCGACCUGCACGAAUGGCGUAAUGAUGGCCAGGCUGUCUCCACCCGAGACUCAGUGAAAUUGAACUCGCUGUGAAGAUGCAGUGUACCCGCGGCAAGACGGAAAGACCCCGUGAACCUUUACUAUAGCUUGACACUGAACAUUGAGCCUUGAUGUGUAGGAUAGGUGGGAGGCUUUGAAGUGUGGACGCCAGUCUGCAUGGAGCCGACCUUGAAAUACCACCCUUUAAUGUUUGAUGUUCUAACGUGGGCCCCUUACCGGGGUUGCGGACAGUGUCUGGUGGGUAGUUUGACUGGGGCGGUCUCCUCCUAAAGAGUAACGGAGGAGCACGAAGGUUGGCUAAUCCUGGUCGGACAUCAGGAGGUUAGUGCAAUGGCAUAAGCCAGCUUGACUGCGAGCGUGACGGCGCGAGCAGGUGCGAAAGCAGGUCAUAGUGAUCCGGUGGUUCUGAAUGGAAGGGCCAUCGCUCAACGGAUAAAAGGUACUCCGGGGAUAACAGGCUGAUACCGCCCAAGAGUUCAUAUCGACGGCGGUGUUUGGCACCUCGAUGUCGGCUCAUCACAUCCUGGGGCUGAAGUAGGUCCCAAGGGUAUGGCUGUUCGCCAUUUAAAGUGGUACGCGAGCUGGGUUUAGAACGUCGUGAGACAGUUCGGUCCCUAUCUGCCGUGGGCGCUGGAGAACUGAGGGGGGCUGCUCCUAGUACGAGAGGACCGGAGUGGACGCAUCACUGGUGUUCGGGUUGUCAUGCCAAUGGCACUGCCCGGUAGCUAAAUGCGGAAGAGAUAAGUGCUGAAAGCAUCUAAGCACGAAACUUGCCCCGAGAUGAGUUCUCCCUGACUCCUUGAGAGUCCUGAAGGAACGUUGAAGACGACGACGUUGAUAGGCCGGGUGUGUAAGCGCAGCGAUGCGUUGAGCUAACCGGUACUAAUGAACCGUGAGGCUUAACCUU